rnacentral:rRNA from 1 species
AGCAGCCGCGGUAAUUCCAGCUCCAAUAGCGUAUAUUAAAGUUGUUGCAGUUAAAAAGCUCGUAGUUGAAUUUCGGGAUCAAUCUGUUGGUCGUGCCUUUGGUACGUACUAGCUUAUUGAUUUCUCCCUUCUGACGAACCAUGAUGUCAUUAAUUUGGUGUCAUGGGAAAUCAGGACUGUUACUUUGAAAAAAUUAGAGUGUUUAAAGCAGGCUCACGCUUGAAUACAUUAGCAUGGAAUAAUGAAAUAGGACGUUUUGAUUCUAUUUUGUUGGUUUCUAGGAUCGACGUAAUGAUUAAUAGGGAUAGUUGGGGCAUUAGUAUUCAAUUGUCAGAGGUGAAAUUCUUGGAUUUAUUGAAGACUAACUACUGCGAAAGCAUUUGCCAAGGAUGUUUUCAUUAAUCAAGAACGAAAGUUAGGGGAUCGAAGACGAUCAGAUACCGUCGUAGUCUUAACCAUAAACUAUGCCGACUAGGGAUCGGAUGAUGUUAAUUUUUUAAUGACUCAUUC